rnacentral:tRNA from 1 species
CGGAGGGGUGCCCGAACCUGGUAAGGGCCCGGACUCGAAAUCCGAGGGCAGCCUUAUGGCUGUGUGGGUUCAAAUCCCACCCCCUCCGCCAA